rnacentral:lncRNA from 12 species
AUGACACGGGACCCCAUUGUCGGCGGAACCCUGGCACCCCAGGGUUCCACUGCUGCCUGGCGCUACUCUGCAUUCCCAGGCAGUGGGAGGCACUCGUGCCUGGAUCUGGCUCACAGCCCCCGAACAAGCCCACUCUCCCCAGUACCCCAAUGCAUAAAGUGUAGGUGCUCACACAGCGACAAGUCGCAGAAAUCUUCAGUCUGCCCCAAGCCCGCAGGAACACUCACUGGAAGGCCCAUCCACCGCCAUCUCGGCGCCACCCCUGAGUUGGGAGACGUCACCCCAAGCAUCAGCUGUGAUAAUUUCUGGACCAUAAAGAACGCUUCUAAACCAACAGCACUGCCAUCCGGUUAUCUGCUCAUCUUGUGGCUCUGGCCACAGCAGACCCAAAGUCCUACCUUUGAUGGGAUGCUGAGCACCAACGAAACAAUUCCACAACUAACCAAAGACAAGGACAAGAUGCAAGAUACGUGGGGACCUGAACGUUCCUGUAAGUCACAGCUACGGCCCAUUAGUCUACAAAUGAAAAGGGAUGAGCGUCCCAACGCAAAGCGAGGUGAACUCCAUUUGUCUGCAACAGGCUGUAAUUAAUCCCGUGCACCAGUGUACGCCCCCCACGGUGUGGCCCAUCGUGCUGGGUCUCCAUUCUCCCCACCUUCAUCCUGUCCAGACCAGCAUCAUCUCUCACCCUGAUUAACACAGGAGCGUCCACACUGGCUUCUGCACCACGUGAGCACUGUAUUCAUCCUGCGUGGCCAUCUAUCCCUGUGGACACCUGUGGCAUCCCCUGAAAAGAUGGCCUUUGUUCACACGUUUCCAGUCGAAGGGACCUCAGUGCCACACCUUUGGUUCUCGCUGAACUAAACUUGUUUCCCAAAUCCCAUGAAAUCUGCCUCCCUGUAAAUUUGAGUGCUCGUUUUAGUUCUGCUCAGUGGGGUGACGUGGGGCAAAGGUCCCACUGCCAUUCUGUACCUGCGAGAACGCUGCUUCCUAGCAUCCCUUCCCUGUGUUCCACAUACACCCCCACGGCCUGGUUUUCACACUCACUCGCAAUCCUUCCUCUGCCUCUACACACAUUUCACUUGCCAGCAUCUUAAUGAACAAACCACAGUUCUGAGACGAUUUCUGGGAUGGCAAGUUGGCAAGUGUGGGAAGCUCUGGACUCGCCACGCCGACAGGCA